GUCACGAAAGUAUGCAUUCGCACAUAUUACUCUUUUAAAUGAACUUCAAAAUCUCACUAAAGAUGUUUAAAAUAGAAUUCUGUUCCAUAUGCGCCUACCUGUAACUUUCCAGAAUUCAAUAGAGAACGAUUAAGAAGACAGUUUUGUACUCAAAACUUAAUGCAUAUUCAUCUUGAAACUAAAACAGUGAUGCAUCAAAAGACAAUUAUAUUAAGCAAGUCCUCGUGCUCUUUCUACAGGUUCGAAUAUUUUCACAUCUUGAUGAGGAAGAGCCUAUCUUAGAAGCCAUCCGCGAGAGACUAAUACAGACGACAUACCUCAAAGAAAGCAGAAUUUUGAGCCGGGGUGGUCUUGUACAGAAGAUGGUGUUUAUUGUGCGUGGAAAGUUGGAGAGCGUUGGAGAAGAUGGAAUUCCGGUUCCGUUAUCUGAAGGGGAUGCUUGUGGCGAAGAACUUCUAAGAUGGUAUCUUGAGCAAUCUUCUGAAAGCAAAGGUACAACUAUACCUAAUAGGAAAUAAGAUAAAGAGCAAAAUCAUUCAUCUCUUUCAAGCUUGUUUUACCUAUGAGAUGAAUCUUCAUCUCUUUGAUUUUGCGGUCUAUAACACAGUUUCUCUUGCAGAUGGUAAAAAUAAGCUUCAAGGAGAGGGGUUGACUAGUGACAG
rnacentral:lncRNA from 1 species